AGUGAACGCUGGCGGUAGGCCUAACACAUGCAAGUCGAACGGCAGCACAGUAAUAGCUUUCUCUUACGGGUGGCGAGUGGCGGACGGGUGAGGAAUACAUCGUAAUCUACUUUUUCGUGGGGGAUAACGUAGGGAAACUUACGCUAAUACCGCAUACGACCUACGGUUGAAAGCAGGGGAUCUUCUGACCUUGCGCGAUUGAAUGAGCCGAUUUCGGAUUAGCUAGUUGGCGGGUUAAAGGCCCACCAAGGCGACGAUCCGUAGCUGGUCUGAGAGGAUGAUCAGCCCCACUGAAACUGAGACACGGUCCAGACUCCUACGGGAGGCAGCGAUGGGGAAUAUUGGACAAUGGGCGCAAGCCUGAUCCAGCCAUACCGCGUGGGUGAAGAAGGCCUUCGGGUUUUAAAGCCCUUUUGUUGGGAAAGAAAAGCAGCAGGUUAAUACCCCGCUGUUCUGACGGUACCAAAAGAAUAAGCACCGGCUAACUUCGUG
rnacentral:rRNA from 1 species